AUUGAACGCUGGCGGCAGGCCUAACACAUGCAAGUCGAACGAGUGGCGGACGGGUGAGUAAUGUCUGGGAAACUGCCCGAUGGAGGGGGAUAACUACUGGAAACGGUAGCUAAUACCGCAUACCAUCGGAUGUGCCCAGAUGGGGUUAGCUAGUAGGUGGGGUAACGGCUUACCUAGGCGACGAUCCCUAGCUGGUCUGAGAGGAUGACCGGCAACACGGGAACUGAAACACGGGCCAGACUCCUACGGGAGGCAUGAGUGGGGAAGAUUGCACAAUGGGCGCAAGCCUGAUGCAGCCAUGCCGCGUGUAUGAAGAAGGCCUUCGUGUUGUAAAGUACUUUCAGCGAGGAGGCGUUACUCGCAGAAGAAGCACCGGCUAACUCCGUGCCAGCAGCCGCGGUAAUAC
rnacentral:rRNA from 1 species